rnacentral:rRNA from 1 species
GAUGAACGCUGGCGGCGUGCCUAAUACAUGCAAGUCGAGCGAACGGACGAGAAGCUUGCUUCUCUGAUGUUAGCGGCGGACGGGUGAGUAACACGUGGAUAACCUACCUAUAAGACUGGGAUAACUUCGGGAAACCGGAGCUAAUACCGGAUAAUAUUUUGAACCGCAUGGUUCAAAAGUGAAAGACGGUCUUGCUGUCACUUAUAGAUGGAUCCGCGCUGCAUUAGCUAGUUGGUAAGGUAACGGCUUACCAAGGCAACGAUGCAUAGCCGACCUGAGAGGGUGAUCGGCCACACUGGAACUGAGACACGGUCCAGACUCCUACGGGAGGCAGCAGUAGGGAAUCUUCCGCAAUGGGCGAAAGCCUGACGGAGCAACGCCGCGUGAGUGAUGAAGGUCUUCGGAUCGUAAAACUCUGUUAUUAGGGAAGAACAUAUGUGUAAGUAACUGUGCACAUCUUGACGGUACCUAAUCAGAAAGCCACGGCUAACUACGUGCCAGCAGCCGCGGUAAUACGUAGGUGGCAAGCGUUAUCCGGAAUUAUUGGGCGUAAAGCGCGCGUAGGCGGUUUUUUAAGUCUGAUGUGAAAGCCCACGGCUCAACCGUGGAGGGUCAUUGGAAACUGGAAAACUUGAGUGCAGAAGAGGAAAGUGGAAUUCCAUGUGUAGCGGUGAAAUGCGCAGAGAUAUGGAGGAACACCAGUGGCGAAGGCGACUUUCUGGUCUGUAACUGACGCUGAUGUGCGAAAGCGUGGGGAUCAAACAGGAUUAGAUACCCUGGUAGUCCACGCCGUAAACGAUGAGUGCUAAGUGUUAGGGGGUUUCCGCCCCUUAGUGCUGCAGCUAACGCAUUAAGCACUCCGCCUGGGGAGUACGACCGCAAGGUUGAAACUCAAAGGAAUUGACGGGGACCCGCACAAGCGGUGGAGCAUGUGGUUUAAUUCGAAGCAACGCGAAGAACCUUACCAAAUCUUGACAUCCUUUGACAACUCUAGAGAUAGAGCCUUCCCCUUCGGGGGACAAAGUGACAGGUGGUGCAUGGUUGUCGUCAGCUCGUGUCGUGAGAUGUUGGGUUAAGUCCCGCAACGAGCGCAACCCUUAAGCUUAGUUGCCAUCAUUAAGUUGGGCACUCUAAGUUGACUGCCGGUGACAAACCGGAGGAAGGUGGGGAUGACGUCAAAUCAUCAUGCCCCUUAUGAUUUGGGCUACACACGUGCUACAAUGGACAAUACAAAGGGCAGCGAAACCGCGAGGUCAAGCAAAUCCCAUAAAGUUGUUCUCAGUUCGGAUUGUAGUCUGCAACUCGACUACAUGAAGCUGGAAUCGCUAGUAAUCGUAGAUCAGCAUGCUACGGUGAAUACGUUCCCGGAUCU